UGAUGUACCCGCGGCAAGACGGAAAGACCCCGUGAACCUUUACUAUAGCUUGACACUGAACAUUGAGCCUUGAUGUGUAGGAUAGGUGGGAGGCUUUGAAGUGUGGACGCCAGUCUGCAUGGAGCCGACC
rnacentral:rRNA from 1 species